UUAAAUUGAAGAGUUUGAUCAUGGCUCAGAUUGAACGCUGGCGGCAGGCCUAACACAUGCAAGUCGAACGGUAACAGGAAGCAGCUUGCUGCUUUGCUGACGAGUGGCGGACGGGUGAGGAA
rnacentral:rRNA from 1 species